AUGAGCACAGAAGCCCAGAAGGCGGGGCCUGGCCAACGCCGGGUCAGGAGAGACUGUCACGAUGGGAGGCAGCUACUGUCACGGGGCUCUGGUCCCCACCACAGCACACCUGCCACCAGGCCUCCUCCGGGACGCCUCCUUGAGGAGGGCUCUCACUCCCAGAGAAAACGGACCUGCGCCAGAGAGCCGAGGCCUGGUGAAGGGGGCUCCGCUCCGAGGAGGUCCCCCAGGGCGUUUCCACAUCAGACGCCUGAGAAGAUGGAAUUACUUCUCACUUGCAUGAAGAAUAAACAAAUCCGUCACGUUGGGCAGGAGCAUCGGGAGUCCUCACGGCGGUGCGGAAUCUUCGGUGCGCGAUGGUGUGUAGACCCUGAGUGGGCAAAGGAGUUCCUAGGGCACAUUUGGCACGUGGGCACUCCGAGUCCAUUGGACACUCUCGCAAAUGUGACUUCCCAGAGGUCCAAGGUUGAGGCGGUGUUUCUGUCAUUUUAUUCCAACUGCGUCACGCGGAAGUUAACUUCCAGGAAGCAGCCACCCGCACCGGAGGCUGUCGCCCUGGCCCGUGGAGCUGGCAGGCACGACAGAGAUGCUGGGUUUCUGCGGCUGCAGCCUGCUCUCUGGGCCCUCACUGCCUGCACCCAGAGGUGGCUUUCUAGUGCCCAGGAUGCAGCUAAGGGUGCAUGUUCCCGGGGACGUGGCUAAGGCUGCGCGUUCCUAAAGCAGGCUUCCCGCAGCGGCCUCCCCAGGCCUCACCUUCCUGCCCCGGGUAGGGGAUGUAGCUCUACAGAAGGCCUUCCAGACUCAUUCUUGGAGCCUGGGGCACGGACCACUCCUCCCUUGGACACUGAUGGCAGCACACAAUUCUUUGCAGAAGAUCUCUUUCUGCUUAAAAUAGCUAGUGGGGCGCCUGGGUGGCUCAGUCGGUUGAGCGCCGGACUUUGGCUCAGGUCGUGAUCUCAUGGUUGGUGAGUUCGAGCCCUGCGUUAAGCUCUGUGCUGACUGCUCAGCUCCUGGAGCCUGCCUCGAUUCUCUCUCUCUCUCUCUCCCUCUCUCUCGGCCUGUCCCUGCUUACUCUCUGUCUCUUAAAAAGAAACAUUAAAGGAGCGCCUGGAUGGCUCGGUCGGUUGGGCGUCCGACUUCGGCUCAGGUCACGAUCUCACGGUCUGUGAGUUCAAGCCCCACGUCAGGUUCUGUGCUGACAGCUGGAGCCUGCUUCGGAUUCUGUAUCUUCCUGUCUCUCUCUCUCUCUCUCUUUCUCUCUCUGCCCCUCCCCUGCUCUCACUCUGUCUCUCUCUUAAAAAUAAACGUUAAAAAAAUUAUAAAUAAAAUAAAAUA
rnacentral:lncRNA from 1 species